AAAUAUGAGGAUGAUCUGACUGUGACAUCCAUCACUCCAUUUAUCUUCAGGAUUGAUUCGGCUGAUCUGGCUGGCUAGGCAGCUGUCCCUCCAGCCUCAUCACUACAUGUGUGUUCCUCCCAUAGCUGCAGCGUACUCUGUCAAAGGGGACAGUGUUCCCUGAUGGAGGAGGAUCACUCUUUGGUCUAGGGUAUAUGAGUAGCUAUGCUCCCCUACUAGAACCCCAAGCAAGCUCUGUAAGGUCCAUUUGUAGGAGAAUGUUGGGUAGUCAAGCUUCCAAACUCCAGACACACCCAACUGAGGUGCCACCUGUGGCAAUCUGCCUUUCUU
ensembl:misc_RNA 7SK 7SK RNA